rnacentral:rRNA from 1 species
CCUACGGGAGGCAGCAGUGGGGAAUCUUGGACAAUGGGCGCAAGCCUGAUCCAGCCAUGCCGCGUGAGUGAUGAAGGCCUUAGGGUCGUAAAGCUCUUUCGCCAGGGAUGAUAAUGACAGUACCUG